rnacentral:snRNA from 14 species
ACACGCUAACUGUUACUCGCGCGAGCGAUCAUCAAGGCGGGAACCCCAUAGUGAGGUCCUCGCAUUGCACUUUGGCUUGGGCUGACCUGUGUGGUAGCUUCUCAUUGAGGUUAGUCAAUAGCUAAAUUUUUGUGCGUGGUACUGCGUUCGCGGUUUCUC